rnacentral:rRNA from 1 species
GACGAACCGAGCGAACGUUGUUCGGAAUCACUGGGCUUAAAGGGCGCGUAGCGGGCUGUCAAGUCUGGGGUGAAAUCCCGCGGCUCAACCGUGGAACUGCCUCAGAUACUGACGGCCUCGAGGGAGGUAGGGGCGAGCGGAACUGUGAGUGGAGCGGUGAAAUGCGUUAUAUAUCGGAGAACGACCUACGUGGCGAAAGCAGCUGCCUGGGCCUUUUAC